rnacentral:tRNA from 1 species
AAAAAGGGAUGGGAAUCGAACCCACGACCUUUCGCUUACCGGGCAGAUGCCAUGACCACUAGGCUACCCUGGACAUAUU